CCUACGGGUGGCAGCAGUGGGGAAUAUUGCACAAUGGGCGCAAGUCUGAUGCAGCCAUGCCGCGUGUGUGAAGAAGGCCUUCGGGUUGUAAAGCACUUUCAGCGGGGAGGAAGGCGUUAAGGUUAAUAACCUUGGCGAUUGACGUUACCCGCAGAAGAAGCACCGGCUAACUCCGUGCCAGCAGCCGCGGUAAUACGGAGGGUGCAAGCGUUAAGCGGAAUUACUGGGCGUAAAGCGCACGCAGGCGGUCUGUCAAGUCGGAUGUGAAAUCCCCGGGCUCAACCUGGGAACUGCAUUCGAAACUGGCAGGCUAGAGUCUUGUAGAGGGGGGUAGAAUUCCAGGUGUAGCGGUGAAAUGCGUAGAGAUCUGGAGGAAUACCGGUGGCGAAGGCGGCCCCCUGGACAAAGACUGACGCUCAGGUGCGAAAGCGUGGGGAGCAAACAGGAUUAGAUACCCGUGUAGUC
rnacentral:rRNA from 1 species